rnacentral:rRNA from 1 species
GAUUCAUGAUAACUUAACGGAUCGCAUGGCCUUGCGCCGGCGACGGUUCAUUCAAAUUUCUGCCCUAUCAACUUUCGAUGGUAAGGUAUUGGCUUACCAUGGUUUCAACGGGUAACGGGGAAUUAGGGUUCGACUCCGGAGAGGGAGCCUGAGAAACGGCUACCACAUCCAAGGAAGGCAGCAGGCGCGCAAAUUACCCAAUCCCGACACGGGGAGGUAGUGACAAUAAAUACUGAUACAGGGCUCUUUCGGGUCUUGUAAUUGGAAUGAGUACAAUUUAAACCCCUUAACGAGGAACAAUUGGAGGGCAAGUCUGGUGCCAGCAGCCGCGGUAAUUCCAGCUCCAAUAGCGUAUAUUAAAGUUGUUGCAGUUAAAAAGCUCGUAGUUGAACCUUGGGCCUGGCUAGCCGGUCCGCCUCACCGCGUGUACUGGUCCGGCCGGGCCUUUCCUUCUGGAGAGCCGCAUGCCCUUUACUGGGUGUGUUGGGGAACCAGGACUUUUAC